GAGUUUGAUCGUGGCUCAGAUUGAACGCUGGCGGCAUGCCUUACACAUGCAAGUCGAACGGCAGCAUGAUCUAGCUUGCUAGAUUGAUGGCGAGUGGCGAACGGGUGAGUAAUACAUCGGAACGUGCCCUGUAGUGGGGGAUAACUAGUCGAAAGAUUAGCUAAUACCGCAUACGACCUGAGGGUGAAAGUGGGGGACCGCAAGGCCUCAUGCUAUAGGAGCGGCCGAUGUCUGAUUAGCUAGUUGGUGGGGUAAAGGCCCACCAAGGCGACGAUCAGUAGCUGGUCUGAGAGGACGAUCAGCCACACUGGGACUGAGACACGGCCCAGACUCCUACGGGAGGCAGCAGUGGGGAAUCUUGGACAAUGGGCGAAAGCCUGAUCCAGCAAUGCCGCGUGUGUGAAGAAGGCCUGG
rnacentral:rRNA from 1 species